UGGGGAGUAGCCAAGCGGUAAGGCGCCUGACUCUGGAUCAGGAGAUCGAGGGUUCAAAUCCUUCCUCCCCAGCCA
rnacentral:tRNA from 1 species